GGUGAACGCUGUCGGCGUGCCUAAUACAUGCAAGUCGAGCGAACGGACGAGAAGCUUGCUUCUCUGAUGUUAGCGGCGGACGGGUGAGUAACACGUGGAUAACCUACCUAUAAGACUGGGAUAACUUCGGGAAACCGGAGCUAAUACCGGAUAAUAUUUUGAACCGCAUGGUUCAAAAGUGAAAGACGGUCUUGCUGUCACUUAUAGAUGGAUCCGCGCUGCAUUAGCUAGUUGGUAAGGUAACGGCUUACCAAGGCAACGAUGCAUAGCCGACCUGAGAGGGUGAUCGGCCACACUGGAACUGAGACACGGUCCAGACUCCUACGGGAGGCAGCAGUAGGGAAUCUUCCGCAAUGGGCGAAAGCCUGACGGAGCAACGCCGCGUGAGUGAUGAAGGUCUUCGGAUCGUAAAACCCUGUUAUUAGGGAAGAACAUAUGUGUAAGUAACUGUGCACAUCUUGACGGUACCUAAUCAGAAAGCCACGGCUAACUACGUG
rnacentral:rRNA from 1 species